UGGGAAAGCAGGUGGGACGACCAAAACAACCAGGAGGUUGGCUUAGAAGCAGCCAUCCUUUAAAGAUAGCGUAACAGCUCACUGGUCUAAAUAAGUUGUCUUGCGGCGAAGAUGUAACGGGGCUCAAGCCAUGAGCCGAAGCCGAGGAGUGCGUAUGCACUGGUAGCAGAGCGUAGUGUGACAUAGUUCCACUCCUCUUCAGCACCUUCCGAGGUGUUUUGGAGGAUAGGAGCUUUCGAUGAAGCGGGCGCGUGAGCGAUCCCGUGGAGAGAUCACUAGUGAGAAUGAUGACAUGAGUAGCGACAAAGAGUGUGAGAGACACUCUCGCCGAAAGUCCAAGGGUUCCUGCUUAAAGCUAAUCUGAGCAGGGUGAGCCGGCCCCUAAGGCGAGGCCGAAAGGCGUAGUCGAUGGGAACCACGUUAAUAUUCGUGGGCCUGGUGGUAGUGACGGAUCUCGUGUGUUGUAUCUCCUUACUGGAUUGGAGGUGCAGCGAAGAGGUUCCAGGAAAUAGCUCCACCGUAUAGACCGUACCCGAAACCGACACAGGUGGUCAGGUAGAGCAUACCAAGGCGCUUGAGAGAACUGCGUUGAAGGAACUCGGCAAAUUGCC
rnacentral:rRNA from 1 species